GUCCGCCUUCUUGGUGUGUACUUACUCAACGGGGACUUACCUCCUGGUGAGCUGCGAUGUCCUUUACUGGGUGUCGUAGGGAACCAGGACGUUUACUUUGAAAAAAUUAGAGUGUUCAAAGCAGGCCUACGCCCGAAUACAUUAGCAUGGAAUAAUAGAAUAGGACGAGCGGUCCCAUUUUGUUGGUUUCUGAGAUCGCCGUAAUGAUUAAUAGGGAUAGUUGGGGGCAUUCGUAUUCCGUCGU
rnacentral:rRNA from 1 species